CGACCUUAUCGCUCUCUACAGAUACCUUAAAGGAGGCUGUAGUGAGGUGGGGGUUGGUCUGUUCUCCCACGUGCCUGGUGACAGGACGAGGGGGAAUGGGCUGAAGUUGCGCCAGGGGAGUUUUAGGUUAGAUGUUAGGAAGAACUUCUUUACCGAAAGGGUUGUUAGGCACUGGAACGGGCUGCCCAGGGAGGUGGUGGAGUCACCAUCCCUGGAAGUCUUCAAAAGAUGUUUAGAUGUAGAGCUUAGGGAUAUGGUUUAGUGGGGACUGUUAGUGUUAGGUUAGAUUUUGGACUCGAUGAUCUUGAGGUCUCUUCCAACCUAGAAAUUCUGUGAUUCUGCAAUUCUGUGAUUCUGUGAAAUCCAUGCUAAAUAUUUCACGCUUUCAUGCACAAAGCCAAAUUCAUAAAUAGAGUUGGAAAUGGAAAACUGGAGCCCACAAAUGGGGUUCACAAACAUGAAGCAAACAGGUGCCUGAAGUCUGACUGCCGCACGUCAGCUGCUUCAGGUCUCAGCAUGCAGGGAGGAACCUGGGGCAGCCCCUGGCCCCAGUGGCCCUCAUUUCUGCACUGCUCCUGCAGGAUCAAGGAGAGGUUAUCCAGGACUGACUGGAAAUGGGCAGGAGCCCCCCAGGGCUGGGGACAGGGUCUAGACAAUGUUGUCCAUGAGAAACAGCUGGGCGUUCAUCCCCAGCCAGAACCAGGGGCGGAUGCUCUCGCCAUUGAAGGAGGCUGCUGUGAAAGUGAAGAUCUCGACGCCAUUGUUAGCAUUGAUAAAAGACACCUGCUGCUGGGUGCAGUCCAGACAGACCCAGACCUUCGUGGGGACAGGGGACAGGCGCAAGCGGGUGCGAGGCAAUGUGAGAGACAUGAGGUGCCCCUCACAGUAUUGCACAGCCCAGAUCCCUUCUUCAGGGCUCAUUGUGAUCUCCCCUUUCCUCUUCAGAGAUGCUCUGGCCACCCCCACAGCCCACGAACAAUACCUUCCCCUCUUCUCCCCCCUCACCACCCUCCAGCAGUGCCUCCCCUCUCUGAACUCCUCACGGCCCAGCACGCAGCACCAAAUGUCAAAUCUCUCCUCAGUGGAGGGAAACCUCUGCCAUCUGGCUGCACGUACAGACUGGGCGAUGAGACGCUGGAGAGCAGCCUAGAAGAGAGGGAUCUGGGGGUCGUGGUAGACAGCAAGUUCAAUAUGAGCCAGCAGUGUGCCCUGGCAGCCAGGAGGGCCAACCGUAUCCUGGAGUGCAUCAAGCACGGCAUCGCUAGUAG
rnacentral:lncRNA from 1 species